rnacentral:rRNA from 1 species
AGAGUUUGAUCCUGGCUCAGAACGAACGCUGGCGGCGUGCCUCAUACAUGCAAGUCGAGCGAGAAAGUUUCCUUCGGGGAAUGAUUAAAGCGGCAAACGGGUGAGUAACACGUGGGAAAUCUGCCCUUAGGUUCGGGACAAGCCCUCGAAAGGGGGUCUAAUACCGGAUAACGUCAUUAGGCCGCAUGACCUGAUGACCAAAGUGGUAACACGCCUGUGGAUGAUCCCGCGCCCCAUUAGCUUGUUGGUAAGGUAACUGCUUACCAAGGCUCCGAUGGGUAGCCGGCCUGAGAGGGUGAUCGGCCACACUGGGACUGAGAUACGGCCCAGACUCCUACGGGAGGCAGCAGUAGGGAAUAUUGCGCAAUGGCCUAACGGCUGACGCAGCAACGCCGCGUGGAUGAUGAAGCUUUUCGGAGUGUAAAAUCCUUUCAGUGGGGAAGAAUGGGUCUUCGGACCCUUGACGGUACCCACAAAAGAAGCACCGGCUAACUCCGUGCCAGCAGCCGCGGUAAUACGGGGGGUGCAAGCGUUGUUCGGAUUUACUGGGCGUAAAGCGCACGCAGGCGGACUGUCAAGUCAGAUGUGAAAACCAGGGGCUCAACCCCUGGCCUGCAUUUGAAACUGACAGCCUUGAGUACCGGAGAGGAUGGCGGAAUUCCUGGUGUAGCGGUGAAAUGCGUAGAUAUCAGGAAGAGCACCGGUGGUAAGGCGGCCAUCUGGACGGAUACUGACGCUCAGGUGCGAAGGCUAGGGGAGCAAACAGGAUUAGAUACCCUGGUAGUCCUAGCGGUAAACGAUGGGCACUAGGUGUUGGCGGUAUCGACCCCGCCAGUGCCGCAGCUAACGCAUUAAGUGCCCCGCCUGGGGAGUACGACCGCAAGGUUGAAACUCAAAGGAAUUGACGGGGGCCCGCACAAGCGGUGGAGUAUGUGGAUUAAUUCGACGCAACGCGAAGAACCUUACCUGGGUUUGACAUGUACAGGAAAACUACAGAGAUGUAGUCCCCUCUUCGGAGGUCUGUACACAGGUGCUGCAUGGCUGUCGUCAGCUCGUGCCGUGAGGUGUUGGGUUAAGUCCCGCAACGAGCGCAACCCUUGUCCUUAGUUGCCAUCAGGUUAUGCUGGGCACUCUAAGGAGACUGCCGGUGACAAGCCGGAGGAAGGUGGGGAUGACGUCAAGUCCUCAUGGCCCUUACGUCCAGGGCUUCACACGUACUACAAUGGCCGGUACAGUGGGUGGCAAUGCCGCGAGGUGGAGCUAAUCCCCAAAACCGGUCUCAGUUCAGAUUGGAGUCUGCAACUCGACUCCAUGAAGGCGGAAUCGCUAGUAAUCGCAGAUCAGCACGCUGCGGUGAAUACGUUCCCGGGCCUUGUACACACCGCCCGUCAAGCCAUGGGAGUUGGGAGUACCCGAAAUCGCC